AUCCUGUGCGAGACAGAUGCCCUCCCCACCCCUUUUAUCUUUCUUAUUUCUGUAUUCAGAAGAGAUCAACUUUAGGCUCCUUCUUUCGGUCAAAUAAAUCAGGAGAACUAUGUAAUUUUGAAAAAGGGGUGAGGUUUAUUGGGUUAUUCAACAAACAACCGGUAUCAACAAAGUCAUUCCAUGGCUUUUCUCCUGCCAACAACAGGUCAGUCAGGGGUUUACAUCUUUCAACUAGAAAUGGGUUCCCGUCACCCGCGUUCCCCAGGCCUGGCCAGUCUAUCGAUGUGUUCAGGGUCACCGUCUGUCCUGCUUCUCCAUCCAGUAAGGGAACGGUGUCAUCGUCCUGGUCGUCCAUCCAGCUGGGGUGCUCGGCCGGUGUUGGGGUCGGCCAGGGUCCUCCCUUUAUCCCUUCCUCCUCAUUUCGCUCACCCUCCAUCGUAUUCUCUCUCUCCUUUCUCUUUCAACUUUCUCCUUUUCCUCUCUUAGUUUCCUCUGCCACUCCCGGGCUUCAGCCUCUCCCCAAUAAGAAGGUCUUGGGGGGAGAGACACUUCUCUUCUCUGUCUGUAAUCUGCUUCUUCCUUUGGGACUCUCAAUAUUUCCCACGCGCCGGCCCAGGGGUCCUCCAUCCAAACCCACUCCCAGCCUAGCGGUAAACCUUCCUUCUUCCUUUUUAUAUCUGCUGUUCUCACCUCUAUCUCCAUCUUCUUCUUCCGCUCUAUUCCUGCCGUUUGCUCCUGAGCCCCCUCAACCAUUAGCUUUCGUAAUUCUCCCUCUAAUUCUUGCGUAUCUGUCCCCCGCUGUUCUGUUUUCUUGGGGCUGUUCUGUUUUCUUGGGAGCUGAGACGGGCAGAGCCUGAGUCUCUAUCUCGGUUGUCAUGGGGAGGGACGGCUACUUUCGACCCUCUUCACAUAUGUGUAUGUCUCUCGCACACACACUGCAAUUUGAUAUGUCAGGCCAUCAGAUCAUGUGAGCAUUCAAAGCAGAAAGUGAUGCCAUUCAAAACUGAAUCGGACCUGAUUAGAAAACAAAUGUGAUAUAGUAUGAAAUGCAGCUCUUAAACCCCCUCCUGCUGUUGGCUGGCUUAGAAAGAAACACAUCAUUUAUUUCUAUCAGU
rnacentral:lncRNA from 1 species